rnacentral:rRNA from 1 species
GACGAACGCUGGCGGCGUGCUUAACACAUGCAAGUCGAACGAAGUGGCGAACGGGUGAGUAACGCGUACUCAACCUGCCCUUCAGAGGGGGACAACAGUUGGAAACGACUGCUAAUACCGCAUACUGAAGGAGGGGAUUGCGUCUGAUUAGCUAGUUGGAGGGGUAACGGCCUACCAAGGCGAUGAUCCGUAGCCGGUCUGAGAGGAUGAACGGCCACGUUGGGACUGAGACACGGGCCAGACUCCUACGGGAGGCAGCAGUGGGGAAUAUUCCGGAAUGGAUGAAAGUCUUACGGAGCAACGCGGCGUGAGUGAUGACGGCGUUCGGGUUGUAAAGCUCUGUUAAUCGGGACGCGGUACCGGAAUAGAAGGCCACGGCUAACUACGUGCCAGCAGCCGCGGUAAUAC